UCACAGCUACCAGCAGUGUUUAGUAAAUUGCAUAAUUAUUCAUCUCAUACAUGAUCUAAUUGACUGAGAGGUGCUUUUGUCCCCAAAUUAAGAAGCAUGAAUCACAAAUUAAUUUACAUGAAUUUUACAUGGCCAUUCUAUAACAUGAAUAUAGUCAAAAGCUAAAACAUAUGACUGUCAUGUCUGUUUUUUUUUCUCUCUCUUGUUUAAGUUUUCAUGUCUUUCAUUGUCUUGUCAUAGUUCAUGUUUGUCAUGCGAUUCCCUUGUUCCUCAUGUUAUCCUGCUUUUGGUUGACUUGUUCAUUUGUCUUGUUUUUAUUGGUUGAUUUAGUCAUUUGUCCUGUGUUCUAAUUGGGUAUUUAUUUAGGUGUGUUUGACUUGAAGCACCGCUGCACAAGACCAAUCAUUGUUUGACACCAAAGUACUGUGAGACUGAUAUUUGAGAUGCGGCUAGCCUCGCCAGAAAUUUAGGCCCCAACAAACACAGAAUGAUCCCUAAUGUUCCCAUUAGGUCCCAGUUGGAUAUUUUUUGGGGAACCAAAUAAGACCAUUCUAGGAAUGCUCCCUGUAGGUUAUUUUUAGGUUGAAUUUUAUAAACUAAAGAGAACCUUCCCAGAACGUUCUGUCACGGUUCAUGAAUCGGCUGUCUCACACUGAGGUGUCUGUGUGAGUGUAAUUGUGUGGGUGUGGUUACUCAUUGUGUUGAUUAGUGUCACCAGCUGUCGUUGAUUUCACCUCCCUUUAUAUGUCAGUAAAUUCCCUCUCAUGUUGUCAGAUCGUUGUGGUUGUUCCCUGGUGUGCGGCCUGUUCUUGUGUCUCGUCAAGCCCAGUUCUCGUUGGAUUUCGUCAGUUCUUCGUGUCGUUUGGAUUUCGUCAGUUCCUCGUGUCGUCUGGAUGUUCAGCUGUUCCUGGGUUUCUCUUCACGCUCUUCACUGCACCACCCCCGGAUCGCCAUCUCGUCCCUGCUUCACCACCACCACCUGAUUGUUUGUCCCCGGCCUGUGUCUUUACUCUGACCCUCAUUAUUAUUAAACUUGUUAACUUGCAUCUUGCAUCCUCUCAUUAUUCAUCACAGGUUCCCUGCAGUUUAUUUUUAGGUGUUAUUUUUAUAACCUAAAGGGAACAUUCCCAUAACAUUCAAUGAAGGUUAUUUUUAUAACCUAAAGGAAAUGUUCCCUGCAGGUUAUUUUUAGGUUUUAUUUUUAUAACCUAGAGAGACCGUUCCCAGAACAUCCCCUGCAGGUUAUUUUAAGUAGUCAUAAUGUAAACUUAUUUAUUAACAUCUUUAUUGCGAGGAUUAACCCCUUGAGAUGAAACAUCUCGUUUUCGAGGGGGUCCUCCAAUACAUCAAAGCAAAAUGAACCAAAACAGCAGAGCAAAUACCACAGUCAAAAACAGCAACAAUGCUCAACCCCACCCCACCCCACCCAGCAUGAACCCCACAAGUAACAUGACAAAAAAACAACCACAUGACUAGCAUUGCACAAGAUCAAGGACUAAGAGGAACACAAACAAGAACAUUGAUAAUAAUAAAUAAAAAUGAGGACAUAAAAAUGAGAAAUAA
ensembl:lncRNA